CCUACGGGUGGCAGCAGUGAGGAAUAUUGGUCAAUGGACGCAAGUCUGAACCAGCCAUGCCGCGUGCAGGAAGACGGCUCUAUGAGUUGUAAACUGCUUUUGUACGAGGGUAAACGCAGAUACGCGUAUCUGUCUGAAAGUAUCGUACGAAUAAGGAUCGGCUAACUCCGUGCCAGCAGCCGCGGGAAUACGGAGGAUUCAAGCGUUAUCCGGAUUUAUUGGGUUUAAAGGGUGCGUAGGCGGUUGGAUAAGUUAGAGGUGAAAUCCCGAGGCUCAACUUCGGAAUUGCCUCUGAUACUGUUAGGCUAGAGAGUAGUUGAGGUAGGCGGAAUGUAUGGUGUAGCGGUGAAAUGCGUAGAGAUCAUACAGAACACCGAUUGCGAAGGCAGCUUACCAAGCUACUUCUGACGUUGAGGCACGAAAGCGUGGGGAGCAAACAGGAUUAGAUACCCCUGUAGUC
rnacentral:rRNA from 1 species